rnacentral:rRNA from 1 species
AUGAAACACUCCUACGGGAGGCAGCAGUGGGGAAUUUUGGACAAUGGGCGAAAGCCUGAUCCAGCAAUGCCGCGUGAGUGAAGAAGGCCUUCGGGUUGUAAAGCUCUUUUGUCAGGGAAGAAACGGUGAGAGCUAAUAUCUCUUGCUAAUGACGGUACCUGAAGAAUAAGCACCGGCUAACUACGUGCCAGCAGCCGCGGUAAUACGUAGGGUGCAAGCGUUAAUCGGAAUUACUGGGCGUAAAGCGUGCGCAGGCGGUUUUGUAAGUCUGAUGUGAAAUCCCCGGGCUCAACCUGGGAAUUGCAUUGGAGACUGCAAGGCUAGAAUCUUGCAGAGGGGGGUAGAAUUCCACGUGUAGCAGUGCAAUGCGUAGAUAUGUGGAGGAACACCGAUGGCGAAGGCAGCCCCAUGGGUCAAGAUUGACGCUCAUGCACGAAAGCGUGGGGAGCAAACAGGAUUAGAAACCCGAGUAGUCCGAAGUUC